GCAGUGAUUAAUUAUCUAGCUUUUUACAGCCAGUUAAUACACUGCUGUUCAAUGUGUACUGUUGUAUAAAUGAACACACAGAGAUAGCUAAUAACAUCUGGAGAUUCUGACCAAGAUAAAGACCAAUGGAAAUGCAGGCUUCUGAAGCCGUUUUACACAUGUAGCCCCAAGAAAUAAUCCCAAUACUUUUUUUUAUUUUUUUUCUAUGAUCUUUGCAAAUUCUGUGAGCAAUUAAAUGGAAAAAUUCUCACGAACUGUAUAUAUAUAUUUUAAGAACAUUCCAGAUAUUCCCUUCAGUAACUAUACUGUGCCAAGGAAUAUUGCUCAUGAAUACAAAAAUUUGAAUGUAAACAGGAAGUGCUUUGUUCUAGAUGUUGGAGGCAAAAUGGAAUGGAGCUAAAUAAUUUUGUACCUUGAAAUUCAAAAAUGCUUUUUGAGAGAUAUCAGGUAAGAACAUUAAACUUUCUAAACUAUAAUAUAAUUUAAAUCUAUAUAUCAUAGAACUAAAAUAAAUAGACUGAAGCAGGAACUUUAUUCAUCUCAGUGGCUUAAACUUUCACCUGGUUACAGGUAUUUUUUAAGGUAUAUGUGAAUGAUACAUAAUUAUGCUUCUGUAGCAACAGUUUAUUUAAUGCAUAUAGUUCUUGCAGUUUUCUAUUAUUCAUUUCUUGUAAUUAAUCCUACAAUCACUUUGGCUUACAACGAAGUCUAAACAUUAAUGUUAUAAUUUUACUUUGCAGAUACAAGAGUGUACAUAUUUAGUUAUUAGAAGCAUUGUCUUCAACAUGUAUGAAUGAAAUGAUGUAAUCAGAUAUUUGAUGGCUUUAGUGACUAUGCAGCAUGCUACAGGAUGAAAUGAGAUCACAGACAGAGACCCCAUCAAACACUAAACUAAAUGGCUGGAAUGAGGUUCCUGGCCCUGGUGAUGGUUUUAGCAAAGCUAAUUAAGAGACAUUCUGGUGCCACCUAUAUUGAGCCAACAUAACUCCAAAAAUAAUUUUGUUGUAUUCAUAACUUUCUAUUAAAUAAUUUUUAUAUUUAA